rnacentral:tmRNA from 1 species
GCUGUGAUGAUCUCGCAAACCACACACAGAAAAAUAUAAGCGCCAGUAAUACUGCCGCUGAUUAUCAACUAGCUGCCUAAGCUAGCUCUGAUAUCCGUUAACCCGAGUUUGCUCUCGCCUCGGGAUCUAACGUCGCUAGGGAGCUUGCUCAAUAUCGUGUUACGGAGAUAUUCGGGGACUUAAUCUGUAACUGAGUCUGUCAACAUCUUGUGCAUCGAAUUGUUGGGACUGAGAAAACGUAAGAUGUACUACGCCCGUAGAAGUCCUGGUUUGAUGCUAAAGGACCCGGGUUCAAUUCCCGGCACCUCCACUU